AGCGAACGUUAGCGGCGGGCUUAACACAUGCAAGUCGAGCGAGAAAGGGGCUUCGGCCCUGAGUAAAGCGGCGGACGGGUGAGUAACACGUAGGUAAUCUUCCCUUGAGCGGGGGACAACGAUUCGAAAGGAUCGCUAAUACCGCAUAAGUUUCCAGAGACUCUGGUCUUUGGAAGGAAAGCUAGGCAGCAAUGUCCGGCACUCGAGGAGGAGCCUGCGUCGCAUCAGCAGUUGGUGGGGUAACGGCCUACCAAGGCGAAGACGCGUAGCUGGUCUGAGAGGAUGAUCAGCCACACUGGGACUGAGACACGGCCCAGACUCCUACGGGAGGCAGCAGUGGGGAAUAUUGGACAAUGGGCGCAAGCCUGAUCCAGCCACGCCGCGUGAGUGAUGAAGG
rnacentral:rRNA from 1 species